rnacentral:lncRNA from 1 species
GCGAGGGGGUCAGGGACUGGGCCAAGCUCAGAAGCGGGGAGAAGAGCGAGACAGAGAUGCUCUGAGCAGGGGAGACAGGGAUCCCGGGCUGCUGCCGCUACCAACAAGGGUACACACUGCGGUCCUCAAGGCCAGGAGGGGGGUGGGGGCAGGGAAUGCCUCAGCCAACAGGGCAGCGGCUCGGCCCUGCUGCUGGCCCGGUGGGAAGUAGCCUGGGGCCCCGCGACUGAAAUCCGAGCCAGGCCUGGGCAGUCUCCGCUAGAAACGCUCUGGGCGCGCACUCCUGGAGACGCGGAGGCCCGGGCGCUCCAGACCAGUGUCCUUGUAGGAGGCUUCUUCACGAAGCUUAGAGUUUGGCCUUUCAUAGGGAAAGACUUGCUCGGGAGCAAGUCUAAGGGAUUUUAAGGGAUUUUAAAUCUUCCUGGGCCAGGGCUAGGGAGCUCUAGUGACAGUGUCUUGGUCUGGAAUCCAACUCUCCAAUUUUGAGGCCGCAGGGAGGAAUUCUGAGACUUUAGAGGCCGCACAGCCUUCAGCGCGCUCACCGCGUCCAGGCGUCAGUGAGGGGCUAUCUCGAGGCGCGAGUGCACAAAAGGUAGCGCGAGUCUCUUCUCAGGCGAUCCAGAUAAGAGGAAAUGAGAGCCGGGUUUUCUGACUUCCAACUCAUUAGGGACCAGGUUCUUUUUCUUCAGGAUCAGGCACAGAGACUGACUGAAUGGCUCCAAUUAUCAGGAUUUGAAAACCCAGUAUCAGAAUCUACCACUUUGUAUGGAGGAGGGGAGGAGACGAGUGGGGACCAGCUUGACAUCCAGUCUUCACCUGGACAUAUGGAAAGAACAAAUGUGCGAUCUGCUCGUUCCCUCUGAAGGUCUCUGUUACGUAUUUCCUCCUCUCCUCCAGAGCAUAAUAACCAAUGACUGCUCUCAGAAAGGCCUGAGGGAGAGGGAAAAGCGGAUACCCACCUGUGUCGCUGUUUGCGUGCCAAGUCCAGGAACAGUCCAUACAGCCCUGCUGCAUCCCACGACGCUGUCACAAAGCAGGAGUUCAUCCGAGGCCAAGGUGUUGUCAUGAGAAUAUUCGUUAAAAUGGAGAAACUGAGGCCCAGAAAUUGAUGUCCAGAAUGCUUUGCUCUUAGCCACUGUACUAUUAUGGCAUAUUUUAUCUUUAUGUAUUGCAUCAUUUCAUGGAUUCAAGUUUAUCAAUGUCCUUUGACAAGUUUAAAAAUCUGUCUGCUAAAAUCUAUCCAAUACAUUAAGGAAAAGUCCCACUUGGCACAUCUCCCACACCAGAUGUUAAUUAUUCAUACUGCAUGACUGAGGAUUUUGGAGGCAGAGAGAGAUUCAUCUGCAAUAUUUGGAACACCAAUGGAGGUCUACGUCAACACAGAAUUUAUACAGCAGCUGGUGCUAGUCAGAGCUAAUGACAGAAUUUCAGUUUAAUAAAAAGACCCCCAACUGAGCACACCAUCUUGAAAAAAGUAUACUUAUCAAACAGCUUUCAAUCAGUUCAAGAGAGACACCUUAAUUGGGGAGAGGAAGAAUUGCAGAGUAGUUUGUAAUCAUGCCAAUUCCAGAUCAAUAACUGCAUGUCUGUUCUUUGGUAGAAAUAGCUUUUGCUUUAUAUUAAGUAAUCACAUAUAUAUUCUCUCUAUUUGGAUAAGGAAACCUUCGCUUUAUUUGACAAUGUAUAAUGAUAUACUCUUCUAAUUCACCUCUGUGUCUUCACAAUAAACAUGAGUAAAAUUUAGACAAGUGAUGGUAAAGGUCAAUAUAAUUAUUUAUUUUUAAAAUAAAUUUUGUAUCUAACAGGAAAGCAGUUCUUAUGAAAUUUUUAUAUUUUCAAAAAUUGUUUUGUUCAAAUAAAAUUUUAUGAGUAAAGUUAAA